UGAGGAAAGCAGGGGAUCGAAAGACCUUGCGCUUAAGGAGCGGCCGAUGUCUGAUUAGCUAGUUGGUGGGGUAAAGGCCUACCAAGGCAACGAUCAGUAGUUGGUCUGAGAGGACGACCAACCACACUGGGACUGAGACACGGCCCAGACUCCUACGGGAGGCAGCAGUGGGGAAUUUUGGACAAUGGGCGCAAGCCUGAUCCAGCCAUGCCGCGUGAGUGAAGAAGGCCUUCGGGUUGUAAAGCUCUUUCAGUUGGGAAGAAACGAUUGCAACUAAUAAUUGUAAUUAAUGACGGUACCGACAGAAGAAGCACCGGCUAACUACGUGCCAGCAGCCGCGGUAAUACGUAGGGUGCGAGCGUUAAUCGGAAUUACUGGGCGUAAAGGGUGCGCAGGCGGUUUUGUAAGUCAGAUGUGAAAUGCCCCGGGCUUACCUGGGAAUGGCGUUUGAAACUACAAAGCUAG
rnacentral:rRNA from 1 species